GGAGAGGUGCCCGGAGCGGCUUAACGGGUUCCAGUUCCACCGGAAGGGCCUAGCGCCCGCGCAGGUUCGAAUCCUGCCCUCUCCGCC
rnacentral:tRNA from 1 species